GAUGAACGCUAGCGGCAGGCCUAACACAUGCAAGUCGAGGGGUAACUAGAGUGAUAGCAAUAUUACUUUGGCUAGACCGGCGCACGGGUGCGUAACACGUAUGCAACCUACCUUAUACUGGGGAAUAACUUCGAGAAAUCGGCGCUAAUACCCCAUAACACUGCGGAGAGGCAUCUCUUUGCAGUUAAAGCUCCGGCGGUAUAAGAUGGGCAUGCGUCCAAUUAGCUAGUUGGUGAGGUAACGGCUCACCAAGGCUACGAUUGGUAGGGGUUUUGAGAGGAUGGUCCCCCACACUGGUACUGAGACACGGACCAGACUCCUACGGGAGGCAGCAGUGAGGAAUAUUGCGCAAUGGACGAAAGUCUGACGCAGCCAUGCCGCGUGCAGGAUGACGGCCCUAUGGGUUGUAAACUGCUUUUGUACGGGAAUAAACCCUUCUACGUGUAGGAGGCUGAAGGUACCGUAAGAAUAAGCACCGGCUAACUCCGUGCCAGCCGCCGCCGUAA
rnacentral:rRNA from 1 species